GUUCAAUGGAAAGUUUUUAAACAUGGUUUCCAUUGAACAUGCCAUACAAAUGAAGGGAUUUUAAUGAAUGAUAUGAAGAGUUCCGUGGUCCUCCUUACUUUUUGACAUACUGUAUAUAGUCCGGACUGAAACUAUUUUCAGGCGUCGUCUAAAAUGGCACCCUAUACCCUAUUUAUUUAUUUGUACCAGGGCCCAUAGUUAUAUGGUCAAAGGGCUCUGGUUAAUAGUAGUGCACUAAAUAGGGAAUAGGGAAUUUAGGACUCAUUUGAUUACAUGAUGAUGGCUAGUAAUUCCACUAUUAACAACAACAAACCAACAUGCUCCUCUGAAACCAAACCUUUUCUUGAGGUUUAAUUGAACAUAUUGAUCAUGAUCCCACCCUGGACCAGGAGGACCCAGUCCUUGUUCAGUUUGUGGAUGAGGAGGUUGGGCAGCGGCCCUGUCUGGCUUUAGUCCCUUGGUCUGGACCUCUGUGGGUUCCCAGCUCUCUGACUUAUUACCUUACCCUUGCUGGGAGGAUGUUAGUGAGAGAGCUGGCAGUGUUAAACACACAGAUGUUCAUGAGGGAUCAGCCUGUUCUCAUCUGUUUCACUCCUGUUGGGAGGAUGGUGUGGGAGGAACUGUCUUCUCAAACUGAACAGCCAAAUAGUGAAGACUCUGGUUUUCCCUAUGAGAAGAUGCAGCUGGUUGGGAACUGGGGUUCAUUUCAUUUCCAUACCUGGAUAAUCCGUUAUGGACGAGUGCAGCAAAAUGAAGAGGACAUGCAUCACCUGUGCAUUGUGAGGGGAGUGGAGAAACAGCUGUGGUGGAGCAGAGUCAUUCAGGAAAAAAUCAUGGACCCAUGGGGUAUUGUCCAGGUGGUCCUCACCAACAAGGAGGUGACUGGUAUUAAGUUCCUUGGUAGAAGGAUCCAUGGACUCAGGUCUUGCCUCGUCAAGAGGAGGUUAGAGUUCACCUAUUAUGAGGACGCCCAGCAGGUGGAUAUCUCCACCACAGUGGAGGGGUUCCAGGAGAGGGGGGAUGACAUGAUGGCGUAUCAGUUCUCUACCUCUGACAUUAUCACCAUCCCUCAUGAGCCGUCCUCUGGCUCCUCUCACCAGUUCCCCCAGGAUUCUCCACCUCCCCCUCCGCCUCCCCCAUUCCCUUCCGAUUCCCCUCCACCUUACCACUUCACCCAGGACCAGGCCCAGGACCAGACCCCUGACAGCACUCCUCAGGAGUUUGUGGAGGAGCAACAUAAUGUUGCAGAUGUGCCCCAGCUGUGGAGUUACUUUGGAAACCAAGGGACAACCAACUUCUCUCUGAGGCUGGCCUGUAUCCGACGUGCUAUGGAGGCUCUGACAUCCUCAGACAGUUCCUCCCUUAAUUACCUCACCCACGCUGGGAGGAUGGUGUUGAGUGGACUGUCCAAGCUCAACCAGCAGGAUGUGAGGCAGUUUCAGCAGGCCUAUGACAUCCUGGUGAACUUCAUUAAUGAGCCAGCAAACAGGGAGCGACUAGAGCUGGAGAUGGCUCUUGUAGGAAUCAACCACAUCAACUUCACGGAUGUAUUUUAUGAAUUCGUUCUACUAAGCCUUCUAGAAGGAAAAACAUCUCUUCCAACAUCUAGGCCUGGUACCUUCUUUUAUCUGCUCAUGGAAGUGAUCAUGAGGAUUCGCCCUCCUGGAGGAGCCUGGACAGAGUCUGCUGGGAACUUCUACCUCCUCAUUAAGGAUCAGAUGAAGGCGUGGUUGGACUCCAUCUUCAACCUUGAUGAGUCCAUCUAUGAAAGCCCACAGAGGCUCUCGUGGCAGGUGAUGGUGAAUCUAGAAAUGCAGGUUGACUUCCUCCUGUCCAGCCUGGAUUAAGGGUCCCAAACUGAGCUGAGGAUCCCA
rnacentral:lncRNA from 1 species